AAGUUAGAUUCUGUGACACAAAGGGAAACNUGUCUGACUAAUNAUUCCCACACUGCCUUCGCUUCUGAGGGCUCCCUGGCCUGGGAGAGUUUGAGCAGAAGUCUCUUAGAAGUGCCUUCAGGGUGGGGCAUACACUUGAGGUCAUUGUGUUUGAACUUCGCUCAGCUCAGCGAGGUGUCACCUUUCUCCCUGACUUUUGCCCCCAUGCAGUCUCCUUUUAACCAGUUAUGAGCUGUUUAGAUUCCAUGUGUUUGCAUGCUUUCUGCCAUGUCUGUUUACUGGUAUCCAGCUUUCAUCCGAGGGAGACAGGCAGGACUUAGGGUAUUGUUUUAAAAGAUUUAUUUAUUGUAUUUAUAUGAGUACGCUAUAGCUGUCUUCAGACACACCAGAACAGGGCAUUGGAUCCCAAUUAUAGAUGGUUGUGAGCCUCCAUGUGGUUGCUGGGAAUUGAACUCAGGACCUCUGGAAGAACAGUCAGUGCUCUUAACCCCUGAGCCAUCUCUCCAGCCCUUAAGGUAUUAUUUUAAUGUUCUUAUACCUGUUGAGACUUGAUUUGUGUCCUAAGAUGUGGUUAAUUUUGAAGAAACUUCUAUUGNAUGCUGAGAAAAUAGUAAAUGUUUUAGUGUUUAUGUGGUAUGUUCUAUAGAUGUCUGUUAAGUCCAUUUGAGUUAUUUAACCUCAGUAUUUCUCUGUUUAGUUUUUGCCUUGAGAUAACAGGUCUGUCUAAUGGUAGAAGCUGGUAAUGUCAUUCACUCUUACUAUGCUAGGGUGAUAUGUUAUCUUGGCUAUAGCAUUGUUUCUUGUAUCUAAUUGGAUGACAUUUUUGAUGCAUAAUGUUUAAAUUUUUAAUAUACUCUGGGUGCAUUUUUUUUAAUGACUAGGUAGGGUCCUUUCCUAUCUUUUCUAAUUAGUUGUGGUUCAAUGUCUAAUUAGUCAGAUAUUAAAAUAGCUUGCUUCUUGGUUCCAUUUGUGUGGAAUAUUUUUCCUACCUUUUAUCCUAUGUGAGGCAUAUUUCUUGGAUGCAGCAGAAAGAUGGAUCCUGUGUUCCAAUCCGUGCAUUAGUGUUUAUUUGUUUUAACUCUGGAAUUUUAGAUGCUGUGGAGGGGUGUUGCUUACUGUCUUGCUCAGCAUGGCUUGCUCAGUCUGCUUCCUUAUAGGACCCAGGACCACCAGCCCAGGGAUCCUGUUUUCCAAUGGAUUGUGUCAAGGUGACAUAAAACUAGCCAGCACAAUCGCCAAUUGAAAGGAUUAUAUCUUUAAAAUUACACAUUUUANNNNNNNNNNNNNNNNNNNNNNNNNNNNNNNNNNNNNNNNNNNNNNAAANGCUCACUGGGUGUGAAGCGGAGAAAAUCAGGAACCAGUUGUAACUUGUUCCUCAGCACCCCCAACUCUGAUAAGGCUGGAGGCCCACGAGGCUGAGGCUGGCCGCGAACUCUUGCGCGUCUUUCAUCAGCCUCCGCAGGGCUGGGACUCCGGGCUGGAACUGCAUCCCAGCAUCCUGGAGCUUCACAGGCGCUAAGAAGCCAAGCAUCUCACUCACACGCACUUGCACCGUGAGGAGUCCAGAGGAGACUGCGGGCUCCUGGGCUGCUCUGCCAUCGCCCACCCUCACAGGAGCUGGGGUUGCGAGGAAGCCCUAGCCUCAGGGGAAACGGAGGUCAACCUCCNGUGGGGCUGACUCCCCCAGAGGCCCCGAGGCCAACCACCCCGGCCACUCUCACCAUGCUGAACUCCGGAGACCCGCUCAGAUGCUGCCUCGGCCGUUCCUCCACUGGUCCUCAACCGCCUCCGGUCUGCGCGCUCAACAGUCCAGGACGGANGUGGAGUCCAGGCCGGGGCUCAUUGGUCCAGAGCACCUUAGGGGCGGCCUUAGGCCCCACAUCCCACUAAUGAUUGGAUGUGGCUCAAGUUGCAGUGCUGGCACUUUCUGAUUGGAUGUGACUUUGGCGGGAAGGCUCUGGAGUGGCUGGAGGGGGACGAGCAUUGAGGAGCGUCUGAAGACUGGGGGGAAGGGGGGGAGUGUCUGCGCGUCCCGGACAUCCAACUUAGCGGGGGCGCUCAGGUCUUGCUUAUCUGCGCAUGUUAUUUGCGCAUCCGCGAUGGAGGGAUGCCCUUGCAGCCCUGCACACCAUCCGUACCUCUGUCCUCGCCUAUCAUCCUUUCGCCUCACCUCACACCGCCUUACCUCACCUGGGGCAGAAAAGCUGUUCAGCCUCCCUCGCUGGAGGGCCACCAGGCCGUGCUUCUCCNGAGACCUGAGUUUCUGAGCAUCUGCCAAGUCUUGCAUUGGGACCCAGAGCUGUUUUGGAAGUCUGUGUGAGCAGUUGCCUAUUCCNACGUUAUUUUCUCUGGGAGAAGGUCUUGAAAGGAUUUGGAUAUGCAGCCCUGGCUGGCCUCCAAGGCUUGUAGCCCGGGCUGGCAGAAGUUGAAACUCUGUCUCUGGCUACCUCAGAGCUGGGGCUAUAGAUGUGUGCCAUGCCCGGUGGCAACCAGACCUUCAAUCUUCAAUUUGGAGGAAACAUAAGUUAAUCAACAUACCUAUCUUUCCUCAGGAUAUCGAACUGCACAUAAUGAAUUGUAGGCUGUGCCAUGGUGUUUUUGUUUGUUUGUUUGUUUGUUUGGGCAGAGUCUUAUGUAUCCCACCCUGGUCUGGAUUUCCCCUGUAAUCAAGAAUGGAUUUGAUCCUUCUGAUCCUCCAAUCUCCACCCUCUGAGCCCUGGGAUUGCAGAUCUGCAUCACAAGCUGGGGACAAACUCCUGGCUUCAGAGAUGCUUAGCCAGCACUCUACCAAACCCAGCUACAACCCUAACCCAGUGCUGUGUUUACAAGAAACAUUUUUUUCUGAUUAUGAGAUUAACACAUUCAGAGUAGAACGCGUGAGAAAGGCAGCAAUAAAAUAGAACACCAACAACCACGCAUGUCUCUAGAGAAACACAUUUCAGCUGUCUUUCAUCCCAGCAUGCAUACAUUUAUGACUUGUUUUAUAACCAGAAUCAAACAUGAUUUUAAAAAAAUCUGCAGUAAACAUUUUUUUNNNN
rnacentral:lncRNA from 1 species